AUUGAACGCUGGCGGCAGGCCUAACACAUGCAAGUCGAGCGAGCGGCGGACGGGUGAGUAAUGUAUGGGGACUGCCCGAUGGAGGGGGAUAACUACUGGAAACGGUAGCUAAUACCGCAUACUAUCGGAUAACCCAUAUGGGAUUAGCUAGUAGGUGGGGUAAUGGCUCACCUAGGCGACGAUCCCUAGCUGGUCUGAGAGGAUGAUCAGCCACACUGGAACGGAGACCCGGCCCAUACUCCUAGGGAGGCAGCAGUGGGGAAUAUUGCACAAUGGGCGCAAGCCUGAUGCAGCCAUGCCGCGUGUAUGAAGAAGGCCCUAGGGUUGUAAAGUACUUUCAGUCGGGAGGCGUUACCGACAGAAGAAGCAACGGCUAACUCCGUGCCAGCAGCCGCGGUAAUAC
rnacentral:rRNA from 1 species